GUAGGUGGCAAGCGUUGUCCGGAAUUAUUGGGCGUAAAGCGCGCGCAGGCGGUUCUUUAAGUCUGAUGUGAAGGCCCACGGCUCAACCGUGGAGGGUCAUUGGAAACUGGAGAACUUGAGUACAGAAGAGGAAAGCGGAAUUCCACGUGUAGCGGUGAAAUGCGUAGAGAUGUGGAGGAACACCAGUGGCGAAGGCGGCUUUCUGGUCUGUAACUGACGCUGAGGCGCGAAAGCGUGGGGAGCAAACAGGAUUAGAUACCCUGGUAGUCCACGCCGUAAACGAUGAGUGCUAAGUGUUAGGGGGUUUCCGCCCCCCUUAGUGCUGCAGCUAACGCAUUGAGCACUCCGCCUGGGAGUACGGCCGCAAGGCUG
rnacentral:rRNA from 1 species